CGGUGUGCCUAAUACAUGCAAGUCGAACGCGUUGGCCUAAUUGAUUGAUGGUGCUUGCACCUGAUUGAUUUUGGUCGCCAACGAGUGGCGGACGGGUGAGUAACACGUAGGUAACCUGCCCAGAAGCGGGGGACAACAUUUGGAAACAGAUGCUAAUACCGCAUAACAGCGUUGUUCGCAUGAACAACGCUUAAAAGAUGGCUUCUCGCUAUCACUUCUGGAUGGACCUGCGGUGCAUUAGCUUGUUGGUGGGGUAACGGCCUACCAAGGCGAUGAUGCAUAGCCGAGUUGAGAGACUGAUCGGCCACAAUGGGACUGAGACACGGCCCAUACUCCUACGGGAGGCAGCAGUAGGGAAUCUUCCACAAUGGGCGCAAGCCUGAUGGAGCAACACCGCGUGAGUGAAGAAGGGUUUCGGCUCGUAAAGCUCUGUUGUUAAAGAAGAACACGUAUGAGAGUAACUGUUCAUACGUUGACGGUAUUUAACCAGAAAGUCACGGCUAACUACGUGCCAGCAGCCGCGGUAAUACGUAGGUGGCAAGCGUUAUCCGGAUUUAUUGGGCGUAAAGAGAGUGCAGGCGGUUUUCUAAGUCUGAUGUGAAAGCCUUCGGCUUAACCGGAGAAGUGCAUCGGAAACUGGAUAACUUGAGUGCAGAAGAGGGUAGUGGAACUCCAUGUGUAGCGGUGGAAUGCGUAGAUAUAUGGAAGAACACCAGUGGCGAAGGCGGCUACCUGGUCUGCAACUGACGCUGAGACUCGAAAGCAUGGGUAGCGAACAGGAUUAGAUACCCUGGUAGUCCAUGCCGUAAA
rnacentral:rRNA from 2 species